rnacentral:rRNA from 1 species
UACGUAUGGUGCAAGCGUUAUCCGGAUUUACUGGGUGUAAAGGGAGCGUAGACGGCUGUGUAAGUCUGAAGUGAAAGCCCGGGGCUCAACCCCGGGACUGCUUUGGAAACUAUGCAGCUAGAGUGUCGGAGAGGUAAGUGGAAUUCCCAGUGUAGCGGUGAAAUGCGUAGAUAUUGGGAGGAACACCAGUGGCGAAGGCGGCUUACUGGACGAUGACUGACGUUGAGGCUCGAAAGCGUGGGGAGCAAACAGGAUUAGAUACCCUGGUAGUCCACGCCGUAAACGAUGACUACUAGGUGUCGGGGAGCAGAGCUCUUCGGUGCCGCAGCAAACGCAAUAAGUAGUCCACCUGGGGAGUACGUUCGCAAGAAUGAA